GUGCUCAUGCCAGCAGUACACAUACUAAAAUUAGAACAGUACAGAGAAGCCUAGCAUGGCCCCUGUGCACAGGUGACAUGCAAAUUCGUGAAGCCGUCAAUAUUUUU